rnacentral:rRNA from 1 species
AGAUUGAACGCUGGCGGCAUGCCUAACACAUGCAAGUCGAACGGGAGUAGCAAUACUCUAGUGGCGGACGGGUGAGGAAUACGUAGGAAUUUGCCCUUAAGUGGGGGAUAACCCGGGGAACCCGGAUUAAUACCGCAUGACCUCGAAAGAGCAAAGUGGGGGAUCGCAAGACCUCACGCUUUUGGAGAAGCCUACGUCGGAUUAGCUAGUUGGUGAGGUAAUGGCUCACCAAGGCGACGAUCCGUAACUGGUCUGAGGGGAUGAUCAGUCACACCGGAACUGAGACACGGUCCGGACUCCUACGGGAGGCAGCAGUGGGGAAUAGUUGGACAAGUGGGACGCGAAGCCUGAUCCAGCAAUGCCGCGUGUGUGAAGAGGCCUUCGGGUUGUAAAGCACUUUAAGGUUGGGAAAGAAAAACGUCGACUACUAACACAGU